GGAGAGGUAGUUUAAUAAAAGAACGUCGGUUUCAUAAUCCGAAAGUAGCAAUGGCUCUUUUCUA
rnacentral:tRNA from 1 species